rnacentral:misc_RNA from 1 species
GUUUUCAUGUACUAGUCAAGUCUAAGCAUAAACUAUCUUCUUUCUUCUUUCAUGGCAACCAAAAUCUUUAUCCUCUUAAUCUUCCUUAUCACUCUCAAUCUGCAGGCACAAGCUUGGAUCCAAGCUGCCUACUAUGAUUCAAGUUCCAGCCUCCCAGUUUCCAGCGUAAAUUCUGCUCUUUUUACCCACCUUUAUUAUGGUUUUGCUGGUAUGAACAGUUCCAAUUUUCAGCUUUCCUUUCGCUUCUCUGAUGAAUCAACUGUCUCUUCCUUCACAACUACCAUUAAACGUAAGAACCCAUCAAUAAUCACAGUUUUAUCGAUCGGGCUUGCUUAUGGAAACUAUUCUAACUUUUCUUUAAUGGCCAGCCAGCCUUCUUACAGGGAGUCUUUUAUCAGAUCCUCAAUAGAGACAGCCAGGCUUUAUGGCUUUGGUGGUCUAGACCUUUCUUGGCUUUGGCCUAACACAAGCUUUGACAUGAAAAAUAUUGGAGUCAGAGUCCCAACGUUACAGGAAUGGUGGGAGUCUGAUGCUUGAUCCACCUGAUGACUGUACAAGGUUCGACCUCUCUUAUAUGGUCCUUAUAUUGCAAUCUAUCUCAUGCAUGAGGCAGCUUGUGUUUGAACGAAUUAAUAGCAUAGAAGUUGGUCGUGAUCUGGAUGGUUCAUCAAGCUGCUAUGUUAAAGGCUUUUACAUUACGAUCCAGUGGAGAAAGCUUUUUGUGCUAUGUAUUAUUGAGUUGAUGCUAGAGUGAAUAAUCUGUUUCACCGUUAAAAGAAAAAAACAUAUCUGUUUCACCGUUUGAAUACUUGUGAAUUUGAAUUAAUUGGCAUCUUGCAAGUGAACC